rnacentral:rRNA from 1 species
UACGUAGGGGGCAAGCGUUAUCCGGAUUUACUGGGUGUAAAGGGAGCGUAGACGGCUUUGCAAGCCAGAUGUGAAAGCCCGGGGCUCAACCCCGGGACUGCAUUUGGAACUGUAUGGCUGGAGUGUCGGAGAGGCAGGCGGAAUUCCUAGUGUAGCGGUGAAAUGCGUAGAUAUUAGGAGGAACACCAGUGGCGAAGGCGGCUUACUGGACUGUAACCGACGUUGAGGCUCGAAAGCGUGGGGAGCAAACAGG